rnacentral:ncRNA from 2 species
UAAAUAACUGAAGCGCCAGAACCUUUUACAAAGUAAGGGUUGACGAGGAGAGGGAGUAUCGAUGUUUCGGCGGAUGCCCUCCGGCCCAGUUGCGGCCGUAAAAGCAGAACAAAGCUGGAAGGUAACUUUCGGUACAAAAACUGCGGGUGACUAAA